rnacentral:ncRNA from 1 species
UUUUACAACUCUUGAGAUAAUGAUUUAAGGGCGUCUUAUCUGGUAACGGGUAAGAGUAUAACUGGGUGAAUUGCUGGAACUUCCUAAAGCUUCAUCAACCACAACGUAACUGGAAACGGUCAGCGUGAUGGUCUGAAAAUGAUGAGGAUGGUACAAUGGAUAAUCAGCAGCCAAGCUCCUGUGAGGAAACUCUGGAGAAGGUUCAACGACUAGAGAACACGGUCUAAGGCGAAGGCUAUGACUAUGAAUCUCGUAGGGUGGCGAUAGCCAUUCGAAGUGCCCAGCCCCAACCAGUAAAAUGAUGGGUGAAGAUAUAGUCUAUUCUGUAAUCGAAAGAUACAG